CAGAGCUCUGGAGACAUGUAAUAUGGGGUUCCCACAAGCUGAGCAACAAAGAAACAAUCAAAGAAUAACUUCUUUUCUGAGGCAACUACUUCUUUUGACUUUUCACAUGGGCACAAAACUCUUCCCAUCUCUCAAGGACUGCAUCAGAAAUAUUCUUCAAAGAUCUCCCUAACACAAGAGGCUUAAUAAAAAAAAAGACAUUUUAAGAAAAGAUUAAUACAGACCGCAAGUAAUCAUGGUUCAUCUUACAUCCCACCUGCAACUAUAACUUACACUUUAGCCCUGGGUAAGUUUUUACUUCUUUUCC